rnacentral:rRNA from 1 species
UACGUAGGGGGCGAGCGUUGUCCGGAGUUACUGGGCGUAAAGGGUGCGUAGGUGGCUCUAUAAGUAUGGUGUGAAAUCUCCCGGCUUAACUGGGAGGGUGCGCCGUAGACUGUGGGGCUAGAGUGUGGGAGAGGAAAGUGGAAUUCCUGGUGUAGCGGUGAAAUGCGUAGAUAUCAGGAGGAACACCGGUGGUGUAAACGGCUUUCUGGACCAUAACUGACACUGAGGCACGAAAGCGUGGGUAGCAAACAGG